UUGAAAGUUUUGUUAAUUGCACUACUACAUUGAAUGACAUCAUUUUAAUGAAAGAAGUUAAAGGUGUCAAAUUAAUCAAUGAAGUAUAAUGGUAUAUUUUUAACUAGUCAGGAUAUUCUUACCUACACUAAAACUUAACAAUAUUAUUCAACUUAUAUUUUACUAAAAUUUCCUUGACUCUUACAGUUAAUAUGGUUACAUAGGGAACUAACAAAUGUAUGCUGUACUUGAACAACUAUACAGCCAUUUUAUGUUUACUUAAUAGUAAAGAAACCCUUUUUAUGGCUUUAUGGUAUCAAAACUGGCUUUUCAUGAAACCAAUAUAUGUUUACCUUCAUUGUCAUAAGUUGUUUCUAUUUAGAAUCUCAUUCUUAAACACCUAAGUUCUAUAUAGACAAUACCAAAGCUAAUUGCUAUGAGGUGUAAAUUUUCCUAAGACGAAGUCCACUUACAACCAUUCUUCGCUAUAGAAAAUUUGAUAUAGAACCUAGGCAUUAAACAUGUCAGUUAAAUGAUGAAGUCCAUGUGAGUGCUUUACUGAAAAUGUGUAAUCAUAGCUGAUAUAAAGUUUUAACUAUAUAACUAUUAUAUUAUAGGUAGAUUGUCUUCUCUUUAGAAUUCUAAUCUUGUUACACUUAUUAAUAAUAAAUGGUGAUUAUCAAUUUCAAUUUUUAGGAUUGUUGCGGAUGUUGUUAAUAUAAAGCAAAUUAUCAAAUAAUGUUAACUUGAAAAGGCUUAAAAUAUUUCAACGGUUUUGAAUAAAACGGUGCUUCAGAAAGAACUUAAAGAAAAAUAGUUUAUAGUUUUGACAUGGGAUGUUGUGAUAACCUGAUAGUCACUGCUAGUUGAUCACAAGGCACCUAGAUGUGUAAUUUUUAAGUGUGAAAUUGUAUACCUUCUUUAAGUCUUUCUGAAUUAUCCAUCUUGUCUAGAGAUUUUGUUGCAUAAUUUUUAUUGUUGUAAAUUAAUCAAAUGGGCUAUAUUUUUAUUUAAAAGCAGUUUGUUAAUUGUUUUGCUAUUAUAUGUGAUGUUCGGUAAAAUUGAAAACCCCUAAACUGAUUAUAUUGGAUCUGGAUUAUGUGUACUUGAUUUUUGCUACUUAUGAAUUUUUAUUUGACAAUUUUUAUUGGAAUUCAAUAUAUUAUGGUACAUUUGUAAGCCCUAUAUAAUAAUCCUAUAUAUUAUAGCCAUUAAAAGGUAUAUUAUGCUUAAUAUAGAUUGUAAGUUUUACUACUUAUUCUAAAACUGAAUCCUUCCUAUCUCUAGAGAAGAAUACAUGAUUCAAGUAAAUAAUAUAUUAUAUAUACCUAUUGCACUGUUGGAUUCAAUGUUGUCUUAUAAUACUCUUCUAUGACUAUGAUAGAAUUAUGCAUUUCAUCUGGGCCUAAAGAAUGUUAAUGCCAUAGCUGGAUAUUCCUUAGGGAGCGUUCAAGUAUUACGUAAGAAAUUUGGGGGGGGGGUGCUUUACGAUGCGGGGCGGG